rnacentral:rRNA from 1 species
GAUGAACGCUAGCGAUAGGCUUAACACAUGCAAGUCGAGGGGCAGCAUGGUCUUAGCUUGCUAAGGCUGAUGGCGACCGGCGUAAGGGUGCGUAACGCGUAUGUAACUUGCCUUUGAGAGGGGGAUAACCCGGAGAAAUCCGGCCUAAUACCGCGUAUUUUCAAGUUGCUGCAUGGCAGUUUGAGGAAAGAUUUAUUGCUCAGAGAUAGGCAUGCGUUCCAUUAGGUAGUUGGUGAGGUAACGGCUCACCAAGCCGACGAUCUUUAGCUGGUCUGAGAGGAUGAUCAGCCACACUGGGACUGAGACACGGCCCAG